AACGAACGCUGGCGGCAUGCCUAACACAUGCAAGUCGAACGAUAUCUUCGGGUCUAGUGGCGCACGGGUGCGUAACGCGUGGGAAUCUGCCCUUUGGUUCGGAAUAACAGUUGGAAACGACUGCUAAUACCGGAUGAUGACGAAAGUCCAAAGAUUUAUCGCCAGAGGAUGACCCCGCGUAGGAUUAGCUAGUUGGUGUGGUAAAGGCGCACCAAGGCGACUAUCCUUAGCUGGUCUGAGAGGAUGACCACCCACACUGGGACUGAGACACGGCCCACACUCCUACGGGAGGCAGCAGUGGGGAAUAUUGGACAAUGGGCGAAAGCCUGAUCCAGCAAUGCCGCGUGAGUGAUGAAGGCCUUAGGGUUGUAAAGCUCUUUUACCCGGGAUGAUAAUGACAGUACCGGGAGAAUAAGCUCCGGCUAACUCCGUGCCAGCAGCCGCGGUAAUACGGAGGGAGCUAGCGUUGUUCAGAAUUACUGGGCGUAAAGCGCACGUAGGCGACUUUGUAAGUUAGAGGUGAAAGCCUGGAGCUC
rnacentral:rRNA from 1 species